rnacentral:rRNA from 1 species
UAUUGGACAAUGGGGGCAACCCUGAUCCAGCCAUGCCGCGUGAGCGAUGAAGGCCCUAGGGUUGUAAAGCUCUUUUAGCAGGGAAGAUAAUGACGGUACCUGCAGAAAAAGCCCCGGCUAACUUCGUGCCAGCAGCCGCGGGAAUACGAAGGGGGCUAGCGUUGCUCGGAAUCACUUGGCGUAAAGCGCACGUAGGCGGCUUCUUAAGUCAGGGGUGAAAUCCUGGAGCUCAACUCCAGAACUGCCUUUGAUACUGGGAAGCUUGAGUCCGGGAGAGGUGAGUGGAACUGCGAGUGUAGAGGUGAAAUUCGUAGAUAUUCGCAAGAACACCAGUGGCGAAGGCGGCUCACUGGCCCGGUACUGACGCUGAGGUGCGAAAGCGUGGGGAGCAAACA